CCUACGGGGGGCUGCAGUGAGGAAUAUUGGUCAAUGGGCGGAAGCCUGAACCAGCCAAGUAGCGUGCAGGAUGACGGCCCUACGGGUUGUAAACUGCUUUUAUACGGGAAUAACGCGCCUUACGUGUAGGGCUUUGCAUGUACCGUAUGAAUAAGGACCGGCUAAUUCCGUGCCAGCAGCCGCGGUAAUACGGAGGGGCCGGGAGUUAUCCGGAUUUAUUGGGGUUAAAGGGAGAGUAGGGCGCAUGUCAAGCGUGCUGUGAAAUGUCCGGGCUCAACCCGGGCCUUGCAGCGGGAACGGGCGUGCUUGAGUGCGCGGAAGGCAGGCGGAAUUCGUCGUGUAGCGGUGAAAUGCGUAGAUAUGACGAAGAACCCCGAUUGCGAAGGCAGCUUGCUGCAGCGGAACUGACGCUGAUGCUCGAAAGCGCGGGUAUCGAACAGGAUUAGAUACCCCGGUAGUC
rnacentral:rRNA from 1 species